CAGAGCAAUACCUUGUCCCCCUGCUUCCAGGGGUUCCAUCUCACAAAACUAUGAACAGUAUCACAGCCAGGCUCUCCCACCACGACGGUCCACCAAGCUCCCCGGGGUCAUCCCAUGACACACGCGCAGUGUGUGCCCACCGCAGCUGAGGCAAUCCAACCACAGGCUCCCUCCGGCUGUCUCCUUCCCCCAUCCUUAACCCCUAGCAACCACGAAUCUGUGUUCCAUCUCUUUAAUUUUUGUCUUUAGAGAAUGCUGUAUAAAAAAAAAAUCAUACGGCAUGUGAUCUUUCAGCUCGGCCUUUUUUCACUCCGUAUAAUUCCUUCUGGGUUCACCCGCGUUAUCAGUGAGCGGGGCCUUUUUUCCACUCCGUGUAAUUCCUUCUGGGUUCACCCGCGUUAUCAGUGAGCGGAGUCUUUUUUCCACUCUGUGUAAUUCCUUCUGGGUUCACCCGCCUUACCAGUGAGCAGGGUCUUUUUUCACUCCGUGUAAUUCCUUCCAGGUUCACCCGCGUUAUCAGUGAGCGGAGCCUUUUUUCACUCCGUAUAAUUCCUUCCAGGUUCAUUCGUGUUAUCAGUGAGUGGUGCCUUUUUUCACUCCGUAUAAUUCCUUCCAGGUUCACCAGUGUUAUCAGUGAGUGGUAUUCCAAGCAAAUACUUUUCGGGCAACCACUACUUACAAUCAUUCUGCACGGCUGGCAAAGCUGUUUCUAAGCCACAUUCAGUAUCGUUCUUUCAUUUAAGGAGGUGGCAAAAGAAUCUUCAUCUGAACAGACGCCAUGCAGUUCAGCAUCAGACCAGGGAGAAGGCCUGCCUGAGGGCCGGGACUGUGUUGUGCCUGUCUGAUCAAGUCAGCAGUCCUGAAAAUCCACACAAACCAACUCCCGCCGAAACCACAGCAGAGGGCCCAGGGGAAACCCAGAAUAGGUUCUCACAAGAAAGAUUAUUUGGCUCAGUAAACAAUUAUCCUCUAACGCAAAUUUAACAGACAUUAUUUUCUCCAAGCAAACUAUAGUUCAACCCAAAACAGAAUAAACAUAAAACAAUCACUUGGCCGGGCGUGGUGGCUCACGCCUAUAAUCCCAGCACUUUGGGAGGCCGAGGUGGGCAGACCACAACGUCAGGAGAUCGAGAUCAUCCUAGCUCACAUGGUGAAACUCCGUCUCUACUAAAAACACAAAAAAUUAGCCGGGCAUGGUUGCGGGCACCUUUAGUCCCAGUUACUCGGGAGGCUGAGGCAGGAGAACUGCUUGAACCCACGAGGUGGAGUUUGCAAUGAGCCGAGAUCGUGGCAUUGCACUCCAACUUCGGCAACAAGAGCGAAGCUCCAUCUCAAAAAAAAAAAAAAAAAAAAGACGACGACAAUUACUCAGAUGCAGGAGAGACACGCAUGUCAGCUACACGCAGCCUCAUCCAUAAGCAGAUGCAGGGCCCAGGAGAGCAAAGGGCAUGGUGACUGCCUGCCCUUCCUCACGCCAGGGCACCUGCCAAUGCAGCAACGACUAGGAUUUCACUGGACAAGCACCUACCACAUGCCAGGAGUGAUAACCAGGAAGCUGCCAUGGCUUUGCCUUGCCAUGGCAACGGAGGCUGCCAUGCCAUUCCUUCCAGGAACCAUGACAACGGAGGCUGCCAUGCCAUUCCUUCCAGGAAUCAGAGUUAUUAGUGGGGCACACGUCCCUGGUUAACCGUAACACAACACACAAGGCUGAAUGCAGAAUCCGCACAGGCCACACAAUUCUUCCCUCUUCUAUGACAGGUGACCCUUCAGCAACACAGGAGUGAGCUAUGUAUGAUCACGGACACGUGGAUUUUCUUCCACCCCUGCUACCCAAGACAACAAGACCAGCCCCUCGUCCUCCUCCUCAGCCCACUCAAGGUGAAGGCCAUGAGGAUGAAGCUCUUUAUGGUGAUCCGCUUCCACUGCAUAAAUAGGAAAUAUAUUUUCUCUUACGACUUUUUUCUUUUUUCUUUUUUUUUGAGACAAGAGUCUCGCCGUCGCUUUUUUCUUUCUUAAUUUUUUUUUUUGAGACAGAGUCUUGCUGUGUCGCCCAGGCUGGAGUGCAGUGGCGCGAUCUCGGCUCACUGCAAGCUUCGCCUCUUGGGUUCACGCCAUUCUCCUGCCUCAGCCUCCCGACUAGCUGGGGUUACAGGUGCCCACCACCACGCCUAAUUUUUUUUUUUUUUUGUAUUUUUAGUAGAGACAGGG
rnacentral:lncRNA from 1 species